rfam:Methylobacterium extorquens AM1, complete genome.
GGGUCUGCAGAUCACCCAGGCGUCACCGCCCCGAAAGGGGAGCUAAACCUGCAA